CGGGCGCGAUGGAACGCAAGCCUUGGGGAGGUUGAGCCAACAGGGACGUGGCGUUCUGCGACACGGGUGGAGAAGCCGCACCUCUUCCUUCUCUCGCGUUCCCAGAGGAGCCUGUGGAGCAGGAGUUGGGCGGGAUCCUACAGAACAUCAACUGGCCGGUUAGUUACAACAGCAAUUUCUUCAUUAUGUUUAGAAGAGGGGAGGAGGAGAUAGGAGCACUUACUCCCAAGAGACAAUGAGCAAAUCGAAAUUUUCAGCAAUAAGAAUCUCAGGCCAAACCCCAUACCUAUUGAAUCUGCAUUGCCUGUCCUUUAUUUCAGCAAACCUCCAUUUGAAUAUGGUUUGCAAGCAGCCUCUGACUCAAAUUCAGCCUUGCCUGUCAAAGGACGAUGAUAGCAUCAUAUCAACCACCAGUUCAUCUCUCUGAAGCAGCUUUGUUUAUUUCUCGGUUGGCAUUACACAGUGUCAGAAAUGGGAUCUGAAGCUAUCACCGACCUGACUUUGGAGCUACCAUUGGAUUCAAGCAUGGUACUGGAAAAAGCCCGUUGCACUCUCUUGUCUCCCCCAUGGCCCUGGGUUCCUGCCAGUAAGUCCUCUUGGUUCUGAAGUGCCCUCUUUUUGGUUGAGGUUCUGGUCUUUCUUUUGGUGUCUUCUGCUAAAGGCAUUUGAACUUCAGUUCUUUGGGUUUGGGCUGGUGGCAGCAGCCCUUUUGUGUUUGCCCUUUUUGGUACACAAGGAAAAUUUCCUUUUCUGAUAAGUGCUCAAACGGGACAUUAAAAAUUCCCACUUUGGUAUUGAGUUCUUUUUUUAGAGGAGGGAUACCUUCCGAACAAUCAAUUUGACCUAUGUUCUGACUGAGAAAUCAAAUAACUAUUUUGGUGGGCACAGGAUGGGCACUUAAAAGCUAGUAGGGUGCCUGCCACCUUUUGAUAAGAAGUCUCAGCUUCUGAAGACCAAGACUCCUAUGAAAGGGUGAAGUGGCCAUGGAUGGAUUGUAUUGACACAAGGUGCCUGCCACACACAAGACAAUUUUCAUGCAACUAGGAGAACUUACCAUGGGUUGGACAACUAGAGCACAGGCUGUCCACCAGGUAAAAUAAGCAUCCUGUGAAAGGCACCCUGUAAAAUAUCACACUUGCCCCAAACCCAGAUAAUUCCUCUCAGAUUUAGGAUUUAUGAUUGCUUACAAUCAGAACUAAUUAAAAAAUAGUUUGCAAUCCAUCUAAGAACUCUAAUAGUGUAUGACCAUCUAGCAUACCAGCUGGUUUCUUGUACAAAAAUUAUGGUCCUGCCUCAUGUAAAAUCUUAUCCUGCUGGACCUGGCACACUAGAGAAAAUCUUGAAUUAUAAUGACCUCAAUGGGAACUUUUGAUACACCUAAAUUGGUAUUGAAAAUAGAGGCUCUAAACUAAGCAAGCCAAAAUGAGAUACCUACUUUAGUUGGUAUUUAGAAGCUUCCUGAUGUAUAACUAAUUCUAAAAUUGCCUCUUUAAGAAACAAAUACUAAAUUAACAAAGACUAACACAGACUUCUCUAAAUGCAGUAUGAAGUUUGAAAAAUUAUCUGAAACUCUUGAGUCUGACUGUUCUAAUCCUUCUUUAAGCCUCUCCUGUCCUCUUCCUCUAUGUCCUAGUUUAGCCAAACUCCUCUUCUAUAGUGAUAAGAUUUUCCAAAUCUUCCUGAAGACCCAGUAGGUUUUGCAAAAUAAUUCAGUCUUAUCAUUAAGACUGUUGAGCCUGGAUACUAAGACCUUUACCAGUUAAUUUACAUGCCACAGUGAAGUUCAUGGCAAAAUCUGGAUAGACAAAGCUAAUUAGAAAGAUCCCUUAAAUGACUUUUCAAAAUGAAUAACUACUGGUAAACUGAAGCAUUUAAGCUAGCUAAGGAACUCCAUAAGGUCGUACCUGAUGAUUUUUCCCAAAUUAUUGAUUAAAGAAAAAUCUAACAAUGUACCCAGAAACCUGAUGAGCCCAUAUAUGAAUAUUAUACAGGCUCAGAAUAACUUUUAAAUAAUUCUCAGGUCUUGACCAUAUUAACUAUGAAACCUCCAACCUAUUUAAUUCUACUUUUGUUAACAGCCUUUCAGAAGAACUAAGCACCACUCUAAAAUGUAAGCAACUAAACUGGGCCACAGUGGCACCUAAUGAUUUAGUAAAUCUUACAGAUCAUUUAGAUCACAUCUUUUAAAAAGCUGGAAAAAAAAAAGG